GGUAGAAUAUAUUGUUUACAAUGUUUAGUGGUUCUUACAUACUUACGUGUUUAGCUUUCAAAGAGCCAUAUUAUUUUGUCUUCUCCUUUGUGUUUUCCUGCAGAUUCAGCUUAGUUCAAUGCGCUUAUUAUCGUUUUCAUCGUUCGAUCGUGCAAAUGAAGGCAACAAUGAUGAUAUAUGAUGAAGUGACUGAGACUAAAAAGCUGGUAUGAACUCUGUCUAUUUUGUUUUUGUAAAUAUGACUAGCUUGUCGACCCAGAUUUAGCUUUGUUGUGAGAGAACCAUGUUUGCAAUGACUACUUAGAGAUCAUACUUUCUGAUGCCAUGCUUAUUUAGAUGAGAGCUUAUAAUGGUUUGUCUUGGAUGCCAACAUAGAUUUUGAGAUGACUAUGAUGUAGUAUGAUAGGAUGGUAUUCUCCUUUGAAUGUUUCAAGUGGCUUGACUUGGCGCAUGUUCUUGCAUGUAGUUGAAACAAAAUCAACGUAGCCUCUAUGAUGUUCGUAUCCAUGGUGAUUUAUAUCCUGUUCAAGCUUGCAUUCAAUGUUAGUCAAACUC
rnacentral:lncRNA from 1 species